CACGUAGGGGGCAAGCGUUGUCCGGAUUUAUUGGGCGUAAAGAGCUAGCGUAGGCGGUUCGGUAAGUCGGGUGUGAAACCUCCAGGCUCAACCUGGAGACGCCACCCGAUACUGCUGUGACUAAGAGUCCGGUAGGGGAGCGUGGAAUUCCUGGUGUAGCGGUGAAAUGCGCAGAUAUCAGGAAGAACACCCGUGGCUAAGGCGGCUCUCUAGUACGGUACUGACGCUGAGACGCGAAAGCGUGGGGAGCGAAACAGG
rnacentral:rRNA from 1 species